rnacentral:rRNA from 1 species
AGAGUUUGAUCCUGGCUCAGAUUGAACGCUGGCGGCAUGCUUUACACAUGCAAGUCGAACGGCAGCAUAGGUGCUUGCACCUGAUGGCGAGUGGCGAACGGGUGAGUAAUAUAUCGGAACGUGUCCGGAAGUGGGGGAUAACGCAGCGAAAGUUGCGCUAAUACCGCAUAUGCCCUGAGGGGGAAAGGAGGGGAUCGCAAGACCUUUCGCUUUCGGAGUGGCCGAUAUCGGAUUAGCUAGUUGGUGGGGUAAAGGCCCACCAAGGCGACGAUCCGUAGCUGGUCUGAGAGGACGACCAGCCACACUGGGACUGAGACACGGCCCUGACUCCUACGGGAGGCAGCAGUGGGGAAUUUUGGACAAUGGGCGCAAGCCUGAUCCAGCCAUGCCGCGUGAGUGAAGAAGGCCUUCGGGUUGUAAAGCUCUUUCGGACAGAAAGAAAUCGCACAGGCUAAUACUCUGUGUGGAUGACGGUACUGUAAGAAGAAGCACCGGCUAACUACGUGCCAGCCGCCGCGGU